CCUCCCUCUUUCUUCGUGCUUCACACCUGCAAGUCGAACGGAAAGGCCCUGCUUUUGUGGGGUGCUCGAGUGGCGAACGGGUGAGUAACACGUGAGUAACCUGCCCUUGACUUUGGGAUAACUUCAGGAAACUGGGGCUAAUACCGGAUAGGAGCUCCUGCUGCAUGGUGGGGGUUGGAAAGUUUCGGCGGUUGGGGAUGGACUCGCGGCUUAUCAGCUUGUUGGUGGGGUAGUGGCUUACCAAGGCUUUGACGGGUAGCCGGCCUGAGAGGGUGACCGGCCACAUUGGGACUGAGAUACGGCCCAGACUCCUACGGGAGGCAGCGGUGGGGAAUAUUGCACAAUGGGCGGAAGCCUGAUGCAGCAACGCCGCGUGCGGGAUGACGGCCUUCGGGUUGUAAACCGCUUUCGCCUGUGACGAAGCGUGAGUGACGGUAAUGGGUAAAGAAGCACCGGCUAACUACGUG
rnacentral:rRNA from 1 species